GAAUAAAGUGGAAUUUUAAAAAGGGUCAAAAUAAAUGGCAAUAUAGAUUCUUCAUGCCUAAAAUUAUUAAUUUACCCUUGGGGAGGUCUGAGACCGGGGCCAACAGCAGCCCUAACAGGGCCCUCCCUGAGCCUGGGACGAUGAGUUCCCAGACAGCACGGCUUCUUGUGAGGGCAGACUGGGCAGGAGAUGCCAGGAGCCCGCCUCUGGGAGGGGCCUGGCUGAUGCCUCCUUAACUGGGCCCUGGAACAGACUCACAGCCUGCAAACUAAGUUGAAUGACUGAGGUGAGGCAUCUCGUGCCAGUGCCUCAUAACCCAAUUCAGACUAUUCCCCCCCAUCC
ensembl:ribozyme RNaseP_nuc Nuclear RNase P